UGGGGAAUAUUGCACAAUGGGCGCAAGCCUGAUGCAGCCAUGCCGCGUGUAUGAAGAAGGCCUUCGGGUUGUAAAGUACUUUCAGCGGGGAGGAAGGCGAUAAGGUUAAUAACCUUGUCGAUUGACGUUACCCGCAGAAGAAGCACCGGCUAACUCCGUGCCAGCAGCCGCGGUAAUACGGAGGGUGCAAGCGUUAAUCGGAAUUACUGGGCGUAAAGCGCACGCAGGCGGUCUGUCAAGUCGGAUGUGAAAUCCCCGGGCUCAACCUGGGAACUGCAUUCGAAACUGGCAGGCUAGAGUCUUGUAGAGGGGGGUAGUAUUCCAGGUGUAGCGGUGAAAUGCGUAGAGAUCUGGAGGAAUACCGGUGGCGAAGGCGGCCCCCUGGACAAAGACUGACGCUCAGGUGCGAAAGCGUGGGGAGCAAACA
rnacentral:rRNA from 1 species